rnacentral:rRNA from 1 species
UGGAUCUAGUGGCGCACGAGUGAGUAACGCGUGGGAAACUGCCCACCACUGGGGAAUAACGUUUGGAAACGAACGCUAAUACCGCAUACGCCGGAAACGGGAAAGAUUUAUCGGUGGUGGAUGUGCCCGCGUUGGAUUAGCUUGUUGGUGGGGUAAAGGCUCACCAAGGCGACGAUCAGUAGCCGGCCUGAGAGGGCGACCGGCCACAUUGGGACUGAGACACGGCCCAGACUCCUACGGAAGGCAGCAG